rnacentral:rRNA from 1 species
AUUGAACGCUGGCGGCAGGCUUAACACAUGCAAGUCGAGCGGGGAAGGGUAGCUUGCUACUUUACCUAGCGGCGGACGGGUGAGUAAUGCUUAGGAAUCUGCCUAUUAGUGGGGGACAACAUUUCGAAAGGAAUGCUAAUACCGCAUACGUCCUACGGGAGAAAGCAGGGGACCUUCGGGCCUUGCGCUAAUAGAUGAGCCUAAGUCGGAUUAGCUAGUUGGUGGGGUAAAGGCCUACCAAGGCGACGAUCUGUAGCGGGUCUGAGAGGAUGAUCCGCCACACUGGGACUGAGACACGGCCCAGACUCCUACGGGAGGCAGCAGUGGGGAAUAUUGGACAAUGGGGGGAACCCUGAUCCAGCCAUGCCGCGUGUGUGAAGAAGGCCUUUUGGUUGUAAAGCACUUUAAGCGAGGAGGAGGCUACCGAGAUUAAUACUCUUGGAUAGUGGACGUUACUCGCAGAAUAAGCACCGGCUAACUCU